rnacentral:misc_RNA from 1 species
UGAUGAGUUUCUCAGUGCCUUAUGAACUGAGCAUGGGAGGAAGCAAGGAACAGUGGGCAGAGGCAUUUCUGGCCCAAAUGCAAUCAAGAUGGGAAAAAUGCAAAAAUAUUUGGAGGCCAUUGCAGAUGGAGGUGGAAGAUGAAGGAGACAAGGCAUCUCAAAGCUUCAGCAUCAUGGCCCAAAGGUCUUAACUUUUCGGUUGGGUGGGACCGUGGACGGAGUCAUCCAUGCUCUUCCCAUUAAAUUGCAGGUUGCAUGGAGAGAGGGAUGUUGGUGUUUGAUUGAUUGUGGAAGAAACUAUACUUGGCUGUCAAUUUAACCCUUCAAUAGUUAAUAGAUGUAAAUGUAAGAAAUUAUUUAAUGAUUACUGCAUGCUACCACCCACACAAAUUUGGUUAUUUCUUUACACGAAAAAUCAAAAAUUUUAUUGAGCCAUAACUUGAAGCAUAGUCUUUCAUCAUUACAUUUACCAGAAACUUGAGAAAAACUCUCUUCAUUUCGAGUUGGCAAGCAAUUCCUACCCAAGCCAAGAUUAAAACUGAAAAGAAAAACAAAAACGAGAGAAAGGCAAACGAA